UGUGGAUAGGUCCCGUGUGUGGAAGCACAGUAAUGUGUGUAGCUAACCGAUACUAAUAGCUCGAUUGAUUUACUUUGCUGUGAGAUUACAUAUGCAUAUAGUGUUAAUGCUAUAAGAGUGUAGUAUCAACUCACAAAGUUAUCAGGUUAAAUAGCUUUAUCAACUAAUAAAAAUGUUAUUGCAUAACUCAUGUUAUACUGUAACCCCGCCACGAUAUCCAGCGAAAAUUAUUUUGCUGAGUAUCGUAGUAAAGGUUAAGAUAUGAUAUUAAGAACUUUUGUGAGUUGUGCAACAAUCAUUAACAGCAAACUAUAAUACAAGUCUAUCUUUUUAAAAGUUUGUAUUGCUAGCUUGGUGGUUAUAGCAUGAGUGAAACACACGAUCCCAUCCCCAUA
rnacentral:misc_RNA from 1 species